UUGGCGGAGUCUGCUCUGUCUCCAGGCAGGCAAGGAAGAGCCAGGCAGCCUGCUUCUUUGAGUCCUCUAGGUGGUGAAGCCAGCCACCAAUCGGGGCUCUCCCUGGGCCUGAUGCAAUUGUGCCCCACCCCCAGACUGGCUCCCCACUUCUGUGCGAGCAGCUGGAGGUCCAUCGGGUAAUAAGGAGGCCACCACACUCCCAACUGAAGCAUCCUGUUGGCUGUGACAUCAGGCUCCCAAGUCUCUGAGAAAUCUUUGUCCUGAAAUACCUGACGUCAGAGGCAGCUCUGGGGCUGGAGCUGAGUUUUGGAGGAAGCUCACCUGCCAUUCCAAUGCACAGUAUCUUUCCUGAGGGAUGGAGAUCAUGUGGAAACCAUGACGAGCAUAUGUCUCACUUUUUCUGCCCCACAUCAGCUGAGGAGGAAGCUGGAGAGUACAGCUGGAUGGAGGGAAUGGGAGACACCAGAGGAAGUGAUGGACAGGCAGAGUGGAGCAGGUAUGAUUUGAGUGUGGGGUGAAGGAAUAAUGGUAGGUUGACUGAAUGCAGGUUUAGAAAGAAGCAAAAACUGGAGGAACUAAGCGAGAGAGAGAGAGAGAGAGAGAGAGAAAGAGAGAGAGAAAGAGAGAGAACAAACAAACAAACUGGGCUGGGAGGUGAUGCACCAGAUUGAUGAUU